rnacentral:tRNA from 18 species
AGGGGUAUAGCUCAGUUGGUAGAGCAGCGGUCUCCAAAACCGCGUGCCGAGGGUUCAAAUCCUUCUGCCCCUGCCA